rnacentral:rRNA from 1 species
AAUAUUGGACAAUGGGGGCAACCCUGACCCAGCCAUGCCGCGUGCGUGAAGAAGGUCUUCGGAUUGUAAAGCACUUUAAGUUGGGAGGAAGGACUUUAGGUUAAUACCCUGAAGUUUUGACGUUACCAACAGAAUAAGCACCGGCUCACUCUGUUCCAUCAGCCGCGGUAAUACAGAGGGUGCAAUCGUUAAUCGGAAUGACUGGGCGUAAUGCGCGCGUAGGUGGUUCAGUAAGAUGGGUGUGAAAUCCCCGGGCUUAACCUGGGAACUGCUUUCAUAACUGCUGAGCUAGAGUACGGUAGAGGGUAGUGGAAUUUCCUGUGUAGCGGUGAAAUGCGUAGAUAUAGGAAGGAACACCAGUGGCGAAGGCGACUACCUGGACUGAUACUGACACUGAGGUGCGAAAGCGUGGGGAGCAAAC